rnacentral:lncRNA from 1 species
CAAGUGGUGAGCACCGCGUCUCUGCAGACUCUCCGGACGAUUCAGAACGUCGAGACAUCGUAUCAUGCACUGGGGCACAAGCUGCUGAGCUCUUUCGGAACGUUAAAAACUCCAGUGGAAAAACGCAGGCAGGAAUUCGGACGAUCCUCUGUCCAGGAAGGGCAGCACCACCAGCCAGCUCUUCCUUUGCCACAGGGAGGCGAGGAGAAAGUGCUCAGGUAAUAUUCGCUGUCCUCCAGGGCAGGACAGGGACAGCCCACAGUGCUGCUCGAGCCACCACCAGCUGGGACCAUCUGCAGCAGGUGGCACCAGGAGCCUUCGGCCUCACAGCUAUGUUCUCCCUUGGCUGCCACUCUAAACACGUGAAUGGGUACAGACUGGUACCUGAGCUACGCAGCAUGGAGCAGGGCUACGACAGCCGCCCUCGAGGGUAGCGGGAAUGUUGGAGUCUGCUCGGUUUGCAGGGUUUCAUGUGGGUCAUUAUAUCUGCUUGAGCUCAGUGGAAUACAGACCAAAUUGUCUUCCGUCUCCUGGGAAUUGUGAUUUUUUGUACUGGGAACAUUUCUGUCCCAACAUGACCUCCAGAGGACCCCAGAAUAUAGCGAAAUGUGGC